rnacentral:rRNA from 1 species
UUAAGUUAUUAAGGGCGCACGGUGGAUGCCUUGGCACUAGAAGCCGAUGAAGGACGUUACUAACGACGAUAUGCUUUGGGGAGCUGUAAGUAAGCUUUGAUCCAGAGAUUUCCGAAUGGGGAAACCCAGCAUGAGUUAUGUCAUGUUAUCGAUAUGUGAAUACAUAGCAUAUCAGAAGGCACACCCGGAGAACUGAAACAUCUUAGUACCCGGAGGAAGAGAAAGAAAAUUCGAUUCCCUUAGUAGCGGCGAGCGAAACGGGAAGAGCCCAAACCAAAAAGCUUGCUUGUUGGGGUUGUAGGACACUCUAUACGGAGUUACAAAGGACGACAUUAGACGAAUCAUCUGGAAAGAUGAAUCAAAGAAGGUAAUAAUCCUGUAGUCGAAAAUGUUGUCUCUCUUGAGUGGAUCCUGAGUACGACGGAGCACGUGAAAUUCCGUCGGAAUCUGGGAGGACCAUCUCCUAAGGCUAAAUACUCUCUAGUGACCGAUAGUGAACCAGUACCGUGAGGGAAAGGUGAAAAGCACCCCGGAAGGGGAGUGAAAUAGAACCUGAAACCGUGUGCUUACAAGUAGUCAGAGCCCGUUAAUGGGUGAUGGCGUGCCUUUUGUAGAAUGAACCGGCGAGUUACGAUUUGAUGCAAGGUUAAGCAGUAAAUGUGGAGCCGUAGCGAAAGCGAGUCUGAAUAGGGCGUUUAGUAUUUGGUCGUAGACCCGAAACCAGGUGAUCUACCCUUGGUCAGGUUGAAGUUCAGGUAACACUGAAUGAAGGACCGAACCGACUUACGUUGAAAAGUGAGCGGAUGAACUGAGGGUAGCGGAGAAAUUCCAAUCGAACCUGGAGAUAGCUGGUUCUCUCCGAAAUAGCUUUAGGGCUAGCCUCAAGUGAUGAUUAUUGGAGGUAGAGCACUGUUUGGACGAGGGGCCCCUCUCGGGUUACCGAAUUCAGACAAACUCCGAAUGCCAAUUAAUUUAACUUGGGAGUCAGAACAUGGGUGAUAAGGUCCGUGUUCGAAAGGGAAACAGCCCAGACCACCAGCUAAGGUCCCAAAAUAUAUGUUAAGUGGAAAAGGAUGUGGCGUUGCCCAGACAACUAGGAUGUUGGCUUAGAAGCAGCCAUCAUUUAAAGAGUGCGUAAUAGCUCACUAGUCGAGUGACACUGCGCCGAAAAUGUACCGGGGCUAAACAUAUUACCGAAGCUGUGGAUUGUCCUUUGGACAAUGGUAGGAGAGCGUUCUAAGGGCGUUGAAGCAUGAUCGUAAGGACAUGUGGAGCGCUUAGAAGUGAGAAUGCCGGUGUGAGUAGCGAAAGACGGGUGAGAAUCCCGUCCACCGAUUGACUAAGGUUUCCAGAGGAAGGCUCGUCCGCUCUGGGUUAGUCGGGUCCUAAGCUGAGGCCGACAGGCGUAGGCGAUGGAUAACAGGUUGAUAUUCCUGUACCACCUAUAAUCGUUUUAAUCGAUGGGGGGACGCAGUAGGAUAGGCGAAGCGUGCGAUUGGAUUGCACGUCUAAGCAGUAAGGCUGAGUAUUAGGCAAAUCCGGUACUCGUUAAGGCUGAGCUGUGAUGGGGAGAAGACAUUGAGUCUUCGAGUCGUUGAUUUCACACUGCCGAGAAAAGCCUCUAGAUAGAAAAUAGGUGCCCGUACCGCAAACCGACACAGGUAGUCAAGAUGAGAAUUCUAAGGUGAGCGAGCGAACUCUCGUUAAGGAACUCGGCAAAAUGACCCCGUAACUUCGGGAGAAGGGGUGCUCUUUAGGGUUAACGCCCAGAAGAGCCGCAGUGAAUAGGCCCAAGCGACUGUUUAUCAAAAACACAGGUCUCUGCUAAACCGUAAGGUGAUGUAUAGGGGCUGACGCCUGCCCGGUGCUGGAAGGUUAAGAGGAGUGGUUAGCUUCUGCGAAGCUACGAAUCGAAGCCCCAGUAAACGGCGGCCGUAACUAUAACGGUCCUAAGGUAGCGAAAUUCCUUGUCGGGUAAGUUCCGACCCGCACGAAAGGCGUAACGAUUUGGGCACUGUCUCAACGAGAGACUCGGUGAAAUCAUAGUACCUGUGAAGAUGCAGGUUACCCGCGACAGGACGGAAAGACCCCGUGGAGCUUUACUGUAGCCUGAUAUUGAAAUUCGGCACAGCUUGUACAGGAUAGGUAGGAGCCUUUGAAACGUGAGCGCUAGCUUACGUGGAGGCGCUGGUGGGAUACUACCCUAGCUGUGUUGGCUUUCUAACCCGCACCACUUAUCGUGGUGGGAGACAGUGUCAAGCGGGCAGUUUGACUGGGGCGGUCGCCUCCUAAAAGGUAACGGAGGCGCUCAAAGGUUCCCUCAGAAUGGUUGGAAAUCAUUCAUAGAGUGUAAAGGCAUAAGGGAGCUUGACUGCGAGACCUACAAGUCGAGCAGGGUCGAAAGACGGACUUAGUGAUCCGGUGGUUCCGCAUGGAAGGGCCAUCGCUCAACGGAUAAAAGCUACCCCGGGGAUAACAGGCUUAUCUCCCCCAAGAGUUCACAUCGACGGGGAGGUUUGGCACCUCGAUGUCGGCUCAUCGCAUCCUGGGGCUGUAGUCGGUCCCAAGGGUUGGGCUGUUCGCCCAUUAAAGCGGUACGCGAGCUGGGUUCAGAACGUCGUGAGACAGUUCGGUCCCUAUCCGUCGUGGGCGUAGGAAAUUUGAGAGGAGCUGUCCUUAGUACGAGAGGACCGGGAUGGACAUACCUCUGGUGUACCAGUUGUCGUGCCAACGGCAUAGCUGGGUAGCUAUGUGUGGACGGGAUAAGUGCUGAAAGCAUCUAAGCAUGAAGCCCCCCUCAAGAUGAGAUUUCCCAACUUCGGUUAUAAGAUCCCUCAAAGAUGAUGAGGUUAAUAGGUUCGAGGUGGAAGCAUGGUGACAUGUGGAGCUGACGAAUACUAAUCGAUCGAAGACUUAAUCAA